rnacentral:pre_miRNA from 1 species
ACUGGGAUAGCUGGGUCAAAUGGUGGUUCCAUUCCCAGUUUUCUGAGGAAUCUCCAUACUGCUUUCCAUAGUGGUUGCACCAAUUUGUUGUCCCACCAGCAGU